rnacentral:rRNA from 1 species
AGAGUUUGAUCCUGGCUCAGAACGAACGCUUGCGGCGUGCUUAACACAUGCAAGUCGAACGAGAAAGGGACUUCGGUCCUGAGUAAAGUGGCGCACGGGUGAGUAACGCGUAGGUAAUCUACCCCUGUGUUCGGGACAACAUCGGGAAACUGGUGCUAAUACCGGAUACGUUUCACGGAUUGCGAGAUAAGUGAAGGAAAGGUGGCGUCCCUUCGGGGAGCUAUUGCACGGGGAUGAGCCUGCGUACCAUUAGCUAGUUGGUGGGGUAAGAGCCUACCAAGGCGACGAUGGUUAGCGGGUCUGAGAGGAUGAUCCGCCACACUGGAACUGGAACACGGUCCAGACUCCUACGGGAGGCAGCAGUGAGGAAUUUUGCACAAUGGGGGAAACCCUGAUGCAGCGACGCCGCGUGAGUGAUGAAGGUCUUCGGAUCGUAAAGCUCUGUCAGCAGGGAAGAAAUAUGCGAUGGCUAAUAUCCAUUGUAUUUGACGGUACCUGCAAAGGAAGCACCGGCUAACUCUGUGCCAGCAGCCGCGGUAAUACAGAGGGUGCGAGCGUUGUUCGGAUUUACUGGGCGUAAAGGGCGCGUAGGCGGUUUUAUAAGCCAGAUGUGAAAGCCCACGGCUCAACCGUGGAAGUGCAUCUGGAACUGUAAGACUUGAGUACUGGAGGGGAGUGUGGAAUUCCCGGUGUAGAGGUGAAAUUCGUAGAUAUCGGGAGGAAUACCGGUGGCGAAGGCGACACUCUGGACAGAUACUGACGCUGAGGCGCGAAAGCGUGGGGAGCAAACAGGAUUAGAUACCCUGGUAGUCCACAGCUGUAAACGAUGUGCACUAGGUGUGGGGGGUCGUUGACCCUUCCCGUGCCGUAGCUAACGCGAUAAGUGCACCGCCUGGGGAGUACGGUCGCAAGAUUAAAACUCAAAGGAAUUGACGG